rnacentral:lncRNA from 1 species
GGCAGAUUGGUUCUGCCUGCACUUUAUUCCUGAACCUACGUUCAUUCAAAAUGGAUUGCCAUACUUAAAUGCUCUAUCUAGUGCUGCUGCGGCUGCUGCUGCUGACUAAUAAUGCCCCUCCCCCACUCCAGCUCCCACCCCAUCAUACUCGGUGAUCUCUCCUCUCCUCUGCCUCUCUCUCUCUCUCUCUCUCUCUCUCUCUCUCUCUCUCUCUCUGUCUCAGGCACCGGUGGCCCUAUUGUCAACAAAGAAUGCAUAAUGUCAAAGCCAAGUCUGAAUGAGUGGUCCCAUCUGACCCAAGCCACAGUUUCAGAAGCACAGCCUUGGAGGAGUAAGGACGGUGAGGAAACAGAUGCCUAGACAUCCAUAUUGACCAAAACCUGCACUGGCAACCCACGGAGGGCUACAUAUCAAAGACAGGUCUUAUCACAUCUUCAUUGCCAAGGUAUUUCUCUUACAUUCUUAACCUAACCCAGCCUCACACCUUGAACUUCUUCCUCACUCAUGCUCUCACUCUGGGCCUGAGGUUCCUGGACAUUAUUCCUGCCUCCUAAGCAGCCUGUUCCUAAUAUUCCUGGCUUAUCAGUCUUCACUUCCUUUUUUUUUUUGUCCAGGUUCUGUGUUUCUGGUAGGUUCUCCUCCACAUGGACCACAGUUGUCCAGCAUUUGCAUUAUAUGUCUCACGUACCAUCAUCACCAUUUAGUGCACAGAAAUCAUUUUCAACAUGGAACAGCUCUGCAUAUAAAAUGAAUUUCAAGCGGCAAAGAGACAGGGUGGAAAAAUUGAUCUCUAUACACACACAUAAUUUGUUUGAAGUCUUAUGGGGAACUGUAGUUUAUGCAAACUUUUGGUCAUUUUAAAUUUAUGCAAUGAAAUACAACCUGCUUAGUAGAAUUAGUUGUUUGGAUAAAGCUCUGGUAAGUCGUGAAAAUAAUCACACUGAUUCAAUGGAGACAGAGAUAAAGACCAUGAACAAAUUCUGCUUUUUCAAUGAUACUUACCCAUGAGAAGUAAAAUAAAAUAG